AACGAACGCUGGCGGCAUGCCUAACACAUGCAAGUCGAACGAGACCUUCGGGUCUAGUGGCGCACGGGUGCUUAACGCGUGGGAACCUGCCCUUAGGUUCGGAAUAACUCCCCGAGAGGGGUCCUAAUACCGGAUAAUGUCUUCGGACCAAGGAUUUGGCGCCUGUGGAUGGGCUCGCGGCGGAUUAGCGUGUUGGUGGGGUAAAGGCUGACCAAGGCGGUGAUGGGUAGCUGGUCUGAGAGGAUGAUCGGCCACACUGGGACUGAGAUACGGCCCAGACUCCUACGGGAGGCAGCAGUGGGGAAUAGUGCACAAUGGGCGGAAGCCUGAUGCAGCAACGCCGCGUGCGGGAUGACGGCCUUCGGGUUGUAAACCGCUUUCGCCUGUGACGAAGCGUGAGUGACGGUAAUGGGUAAAGAAGCACCGGCUAACUACGUG
rnacentral:rRNA from 1 species